rnacentral:rRNA from 1 species
UGCGUCCGAUUAGCUAGUUGGCGGGGCAACGGCCCACCAAGGCGACGAUCGGUAGCCGGCCUGAGAGGGUGAUCGGCCACAUUGGGACUGAGAUACGGCCCAGACUCCUACGGGAGGCAGCAGUAGGGAAUAUUGCACAAUGGGGGAAACCCUGAUGCAGCAACGCCACGUGUGGGAAGAAGCAUUUCGGUGUGUAAACCACUGUCAUGAGGGAAUAAGGCCCGCCUUCGGACGGGAUUGAAUGUACCUUGAGAGGAAGCACCGGCAAACUUCGUGCCAGCAGCCGCGGUAAUACGAGGGGUGCAAGCGUUGUUCGGAAUUACUGGGCGUAAAGGGAGCGUAGGCGGAGAUUCAAGCGGAUUGUACAAUCCCGGGGCCCAACCCCGGCUCUGCAGUCCGAACUGGAUUUCUUGGAUAGUUCAGGGGCA